GACGAACGCUGGCGGUGUGCUUAACACAUGCAAGUCGAACGGUAAGGCCCUUUCAGGUGGACACGACUGGCGGACGGGGGAGUAACACGUGGGUAACCUGCCCACAUCUCUUUGAUGACAGUCGGAAACGGGUGCUAAUUACGGAAAUAACGUUGCAAGGCUACGUGUGGGAUGGGAAGAUUUUUUUUCCUUGUGGGAUGGGAUGGGCCCGCGUCGGAUUAGCUAGUUGGUGGGGUAGUGGCACACCAAGGCGUCGACGCGUAGCUGGUCUGAGAGGGCGACAGGCCACAUUGGGACUGAGAUACGGCCCAAACUCCUACGGGAGGCAGCAGUGGGGAAUAUUGCACAAUGGACGGAAGUCUGAUGCAGCAACGCCGCGUGCGGGAUGACGGCCUUCGGGUUGUAAACCGCUUUCAAUUGUGACGAAGCUUUUUUGUGACGGUAGCAGUAGAAGAAGCACCGGCCAACUACGUG
rnacentral:rRNA from 1 species